ensembl:snoRNA
GAGAAAUGAGGAUACAGACUUUGUCUGAGUUCUAUAUGAAGACUUCAGAUCCAACUCUGAUCUCACAUGGAAG